rnacentral:rRNA from 1 species
CGUAGGGUGCAAGCGUUGUCCGGAAUUAUUGGGCGUAAAGAGUUCGUAGGCGGUUUGUCGCGUCCGUUGUGAAAGCUUGGGGCUCAACCCCAGGUCUGCAGUGGAUACGGGCAGGCUAGAGUCAGGUAGGGGAGAACGGAAUUCCUGGUGUAGCGGUGAAAUGCGCAGAUAUCAGGAGGAACACCGGUGGCGAAGGCGGUUCUCUGGGCCUGUACUGACGCUGAGGAACGAAAGCGUGGGGAGCGAACAGGAUUAGAUACUCUGGUAGUCCACGCCGUAAACGGUGGGCGCUAGAUGUGGGGACCUUCCACGGUUUCUGCGUCGCAGCUAACGCAUUAAGCGCCCCGCCUGGGGAGUACGGUCGCAAGACUA